rnacentral:miRNA from 1 species
AUUUACCCACGGCAAGCUGAUA